AUUGAACGCUGGCGGCGUGCUUAACACAUGCAAGUCGUGCGGUAACAGGCGUAGCAAUACGUGCUGACGAGCGGCGAACGGGUGCGUAAUACAUGGGAAUCUGCCUUUUAGUGGGGAAUAACCCGGCGAAAGCCGGGCUAAUGCCGCAUAAGAUCUUCGGAUGAAAGCGGGGGAUCGUAAGACCUCACGCUGAUAGAUGAGCCCAUGCCGGAUUAGCUAGNGGUGAGGUAACGGCUCACCAAGGCGACGAUCCGUAGCUGGUCUGAGAGGACGGCCAGCCACACUGGGACUGAGACACGGCCCAGACUCCUACGGGAGGCAGCAGUGGGGAAUAUUGGACAAUGGGGGAACCCUGAUCCAGCGACGCCGCGUGUGUGAAGAAGGCCUGCGGGUUGUAAAGCACUUUC
rnacentral:rRNA from 1 species